GCCAGGAUGGUCUCAAUCUCCUGACCUCGUGAUCUGCCCAUCUAGGCCUUCCGAAGUGUUGGGAUUACAGGCGUGAGCCACCACGCCCAGCCUACCUUACGACAUUCUUACUAGUUUCUCACAGCAUUGGUAUGAGGUUUUUAAAUGGAACUCUAUUUAAAACUGAAGAUAAAAUGAGGCCUGUAGUUAUUUAUACAGCUGCUGAGGAAGCUGAGGCAGGAGCAUUGCUUGAAUCCAAGAGCUUGAGACCAGCCUGAGCAACAUAGUGAGAUCCUGUCUCAAAGAAAAUAAUAUGCGAACCACCACAAACAUUUACAAGGGGUUUCCUGCCAUUUGAAUCUUAGCCUCUGUGUUUUCCCUCACUGUUAGGCAGUAUGUCUUCGCACUCUGCCUCUCUCUUCCAGAGACAGGGAUGUGGGCAGGAGAAACAGGUGCACAGUUUGGUGGCACAUGGGGCAGACAGCUUUUCUCCUCCCCAUUGGC